AUUGAACGCUGGCGGCAGGCCUAACACAUGCAAGUCGAGCGAGCGGCGGACGGGUGAGUAAUGUAUGGGGACUGCCCGAUAGAGGGGGAUAACUACUGGAAACGGUGUCUAAUACCGCAUACUAUCGGAUAACCCAUAUGGGAUUAGCUAGUAGGUAAGGUAAUGGCUUACCUAGGCAACGAUCCUUAGCUGGUCUGAGAGGAUGAUCAGCAACAGUGGGACGGAGAAACGGCCAAGAAUCAGACGGAGGCAGAAGUGGGGAAUAUUGCACAAUGGGCGCAAGCCUGAUGCAGCCAUGCCGCGUGUAUGAAGAAGGCCCUAGGGUUGUAAAGUACUUUCAGUCGGGAGGCGUUACCGACAGAAGAAGCACCGGCUAACUCCGUGCCAGCAGCCGCGGUAAUAC
rnacentral:rRNA from 1 species